UACGGAGGGUGCGAGCGUUGUCCGGAAUCACUGGGCGUAAAGGGCGCGUAGGCGGCAUGCCAAGCGUGUGGUGAAAGCCCGGGGCUCAACCCCGGGUCGGCCGUGCGGACUGGCGUGCUCGAGCACUGUAGGGGCGGGUGGAAUUCCGGGUGGUAGCGGUGGAAUGCGUAGAGAGUCCGGAAGAACACCGGUGGCGAAGGCGGCCAUCUGGGACAACACUGACGCUGAGGCACGGAAAGCGAUGGGGAGCA
rnacentral:rRNA from 1 species